UAGUUGGUUGAUCAAUGAUUACAGCAACCGCCUUUCAACUUUGAUGUCACUAUGACAACGGUCAAUUGACUGGUCAGUUGUUGGCUCACAGAGCUGGGUGUGGCAGAUGAUCUAGUAUGCUGUCUGGAUCUCUACAUAAGACAAAGAAUCAUUAUUUGGUGGUCUGAUAAAGAACAACAGAGAGGGGCAAGAUACAGUCUUGCCACUCUCCUGUGUGGUGAUACAGACUCCAGAAUGGCAGGUGAUCAGGAGAGGGAGAGGCCACAGGGGAAUGCACAAACUGCAACAAUUUCCGCUUUCUUUGAAUCACCUGUUCAGGUUUACCCACAGCUGACAUUACUGUACUGAAUAUGUGGAUGGACAACAGGAAAGCUUAUUGCUGUAAAGAGCUUUUGGCAUGGAUGUCAGCUGCAGCUAGGACUUCAAUAGCCAGCCUAGCAAUGGAAAACCUUGAAAAAUCUGCAUUUGUCUGUGCGGUAUAAGAACUUACGGACUUUGGCUAUUGGGGAAAAAAUAAACAUAUACUACUUGUUUUCAGGGUGAGGGGUGAAGGAUCCUUCUGGUGGGAUUUUAUUUUUUAUGCUUUGGACUUAGAUGCUCAGCAUUCACUAUCCAUGGCAGCUUGGGAAAGAUGGAUGUCUUGAAUUAUAUUGGUGUGUCAACAUUUCUUUCUCUUAUUAUUUAUAUUUCAUUUGCUUUUUAUAUGGUGUGAUGUGCCAUCCUGCUGCCACACUUUCAGGUUGUUAAUGUCAAUAAAGUUACAAAAGAAA